rnacentral:rRNA from 1 species
GAUGAACGCUAGCUACAGGCUUAACACAUGCAAGUCGAGGGACCGGCGCACGGGUGAGUAACACGUAUCCAACCUGCCCUUUACUCGGGGCUAGCCUUUCGCAAGAAAGAUUAAUACCCGAUAUAAAGGAUGGGGAUGCGUGCCAUUAGGUUGUUGGUGAGGUAACGGCUCACCAAGCCUUCGAUGGAUAGGGGUUCGGAGAGGAAGGUCACCGACAGUGGAAAGGCGACCCGGUCCAAACUGCUACGGGAGGGAGCAGUGAGUAAUAUUAGUGAAUGGGCGCUAGCCUGAACCAGCAAAGUAGCGUGAAGGAUGAAGGGUUAUGGGUCGUAAACUUCUUUUAUAUAAGAAUAGGUAUUAUAUGAAUAAGGAUCGGCUAACUCCGUGCCAGCAGCCGCGGUAAUUC